UACGAAGGGGGCUAGCGUUGUUCGGAAUUACUGGGCGUAAAGCGGGCGCAGGCGGCUAUCCAAGUCAGUGGUGAAAGCCCGGAGCUCAACUCCGGAACUGCCAUUGAAACUGUUUAGCUUGAGGAUGAGAGAGGUGAGUGGAAUUCCCAGUGUAGAGGUGAAAUUCGUAGAUAUUGGGAAGAACACCGGUGGCGAAGGCGGCUCACUGGCUCAUUUCUGACGCUCAGGCGCGACAGCGUGGGGAUCAAACAGG
rnacentral:rRNA from 1 species